UACAGAGGGUGCGAGCGUUACUCGGAAUUACUGGGCGUAAAGCGCGCGUAGGCGGCUUUGCAAGUCGGGUGUGAAAUCCCCAAGCUUAACUUGGGAACUGCAUUCGAGACUGCAUUGCUAGAGUAUGGGAGAGGGAAGUGGAAUUUCCGGUGUAGCGGUGAAAUGCGUAGAUAUCGGAAGGAACAUCAGUGGCGAAAGCGACUUCCUGGACCAAUACUGACGCUCAUGUGCGAAAGCGUGGGGAGCAAACAGG
rnacentral:rRNA from 1 species